GUAAAAAUACUUCCCAUUUGUUUAAAAUCAAGUCCUCAAGAUGGAGUGGUAUUUUCAAACUCCAGUGAGCUGGAGCCUCAGAACUAGAGAACUGGAUCACAGAGUUAGUCCAGCACAUACUUCCGCUUUGCUAUACCUUCCGUUUUUGUCUAGUACCACUUGCUAGUGAAAUAUCUGUUCUGAGUCUUUCCAAAGACAACCACAUCCAAGUGGGGAGAAGGCCGACAUUCGGGGUGCUAGAAGGGUGGGGUGGCAUGAUUCAGAUCAACGGGGCUGACUUUCCACUGUUUCACCUCACUUGCACCGUAGAGACCAGUUCUGGGACUCCUCAGUUGACAGAUGUGGAGACCCAGAGUCAAGGAAUGAUGGUCCCCUAGGACCCCUGGGGAAUUUCACACAACCAGUCAGCACCUGGCUGCCAUCAGCCUAAGGCUGUGUCACUCAAGAGGGCUUCCUCUCCAGAUGAAUAAAAGCUGAUUUGAAAGUCAAACACAUAUCAAAACCCGGCAUGUUUUCAAACACCACGACCGACACUUGAUUUGUGUUUCCUGAAGCCACCCCAGUGAGCCACUAUGAAAUAAAUUAAAAAGAAUGGUCAAGGCUGAAUGCACACUGAGGUUUCCAUGUGCUCAGCUCAGCAGAUUCAGCGGCCAGUUCUGGGAGAAAUAUUGGAAGGCACGCUGCACCUUUCUUCACAAUGGGAUCAGCAGGUGAAAGCAAGACGUUUGAAUGGAGUGGAGUGUUUCACUUAAUCAUUAGCACUGCUGACAUCAAUGAAAAACAAACAAUGCGUAUCGUCGGCAUGGGCACCUACGGUGGCAUCUUUUUGCCCACUUUGACUUGCCUGGCCUGUUUCAGACUCAGGACUGGCACGGCAUUGGCAAGUUUAUGGUUUUACAAACCCUGAAGCACGAUUUGCAAUAAAUGAUGAAGACAUUAAAAAUACUGCAUGCAAACACCACGGUCUUGAACAAGGACAGGACUUUGGAAUUGUAAGAGUGGAAAGGCACUGAUGGUCCAAACACCUGUCCUUCAGUUUGAAACCAGCUGGGUAAGUGACUGGCAGACUCUGGGAGACUCACUGGUGCUGGGAACACUGAACGGCACUUUCCCCAGGUGUCGUAUCCUAGGCAGUUUGGGUGGUAGGUGGGCAAAUUGUCAAAAAUCAAUCAAAAUCUCUAGUGAGAAAACCUUUUUCAUUGUCUUUCGAUCUUCCCGAAUCCUUUGAGGGGUCUCUUGCUCCCAAACCCUUGUAAAUAUGUCCUUCCUCCCUGAAAACACUGUCCUUUGGCCCCUGCUUGUAUUAAACAGAGCAAAAACAGGUCUCAAGCUCAGAAGGUUUACCAGUAUAGAGUUUAAUAAUAUUGUUUUGUUUUAUUGCAUUUCUUUUUGUGAUUACUUUCCAUUAAUGGCAAGUGACUUUUUUUUUCCAUUUAGAGUGAUUUAAAAUUUUUCUUAAAAUACAGGUAUUCACAUUUAAAAAAACUGAGUUGCUUUCCAAGAAAAAUGGUGUAGGUGCUACACAGAUAUGACACCAUGGGACAGAUGGUUCCUGGAGUUUGGGAAACGCUGAUGGGCGGCGUUCCCUAACCUGGCACUGCUUAGAUAGGGGAGAUACCUCUGAACACAGUAGUGUUUGUAAUGCCAUUUAGAUCUACUGGUUUCGAUAACUCACGGGUCUUUUUUUCUUUUUAAAUAAAUAAUUACCUUUUCUUGAUCACUGUUGUAUAAAACUUGGAAAUACAGAAAAACAUGUAGAAUAAAGAGAGAAAAAUAUAUAAAAUUAUAUAGAAUAGAAGAAAAAUCACUCAUCAUCUCUCCACUCAGAAAUAACCACUCCUAAUAUAUUGGUAAAUUUACUAGGAGUGCACCAACAUAGCUGUUAUUAGAGUGUAUGCAUUUUAUUUUUGUAGCCUGUUUUAUUUCCUUAACCUUAUAGUGUAAGCAUGUUCCGUAUCAUUCAAAAUUCUUAAUAAACAUCAGUCUAAAUGGCUGUAAGAUAUUUAAUGUAGAGAAGCCUCAUAAUGGAUGUAAUCAUUCCCUAGCUGUUGGACAUUUAACUAUUCUCCAAAUGUUGGGUUGUUUCUGGUUCUGCCUAUUAUCAUGCUGUGAUGAAUAUAUAUUUUUUUGUUUGUUUAACAGACAGGGUCUCAC